ACGAACGCUGGCGGCGUGCUUAACACCUGCAAGUCGAGCGGUAAGGCCUUUCGGGGUACACGAGCGGCGAACGGGUGAGUAACACGUGGGUGAUCUGCCCUGCACUUCGGGAUAAGCCUGGGAAACUGGGUCUAAUACCGGAUAUGACCUCCUAUCGCAUGGUGGGUGGUGGAAAGAUUUAUCGGUGCAGGAUGGGCCCGCGGCCUAUCAGCUUGUUGGUGGGGUAAUGGCCUACCAAGGCGACGACGGGUAGCCGACCUGAGAGGGUGACCGGCCACACUGGGACUGAGACACGGCCCAGACUCCUACGGGAGGCAGCAGUGGGGAAUAUUGCACAAUGGGCGAAAGCCUGAUGCAGCGACGCCGCGUGAGGGAUGACGGCCUUCGGGUUGUAAACCUCUUUCAGCAGGGACGAAGCGCAAGUGACGGUACCUGCAGAAGAAGCACCGGCUAACUACGUG
rnacentral:rRNA from 1 species